rnacentral:rRNA from 1 species
GCCCUUAGAGUUUGAUCAUGGCUCAGAACGAACGCUGGCAGCGUGGAUUAGGCAUGCAAGUCGAACGGGAGCCCUUAGGUUCAAUUCUUCGGGAGAGAACCUUUGGGUGAGAGUGGCGGAAGGGUGAGUAACGCGUGGGCAAUCUGCCCUCAAGUUGGGGAUAACCCGCCGAAAGGCGAGCUAAUACCGAAUGUGGUUUCCGGUCGCAUGUCCGGAAAACCAAAGGUGGGGACCUUCGGGCCUGCCGCUUGAGGAGGAGCCCGCGUGCCAUCAGCUAGUUGGUAGGGUAACGGCCUACCAAGGCUAGGACGGCUAGCCGGCCUGAGAGGGUGACCGGCCACACUGGGACUGAGACACUGCCCAGACUCCUACGGGAGGCUGCAGUCGAGGAUCAUUCGCAAUGCGCGAAAGCGUGACGAUGCGACGCUGCGUGGAGGAUGACGGCCUUCGGGUUGUAAACUCCUGUCAUUCGGGAAAAACUGUCCCGCGGCGAAUACCCGCGGGGCCUGAUGGUACCGGAAGAGGAAGCCACGGCUAACUCUGUGCCAGCAGCCGCGGUAAUACAGAGGUGGCUAGCGUUGUUCGGAUUUACUGGGCGUAAAGGGUGCGUAGGCGGCAAAGUGUGUCAGAUGUGAAAGCCCACGGCUCAACCGUGGAAUUGCGUCUGAAACUACUUUGCUAGAGUGCAGGAGGGGAGAGCGGAAUUCUUGGUGUA